CCUACGGGAGGCAGCAGUGAGGAAUAUUGGUCAAUGGGCGGGAGCCUGAACCAGCCAAGUCGCGUGAGGGAAGACGGUCCUAUGGAUUGUAAACCUCUUUAGGCGGGGAGCAAUGCCGGGCACGCGUGCCCGGAGUGAGAGUACCCGCAGAAUAAGCAUCGGCUAACUCCGUGCCAGCAGCCGCGGUAAUACGGGGGAUGCGAGCGUUAUCCGGAUUUUUUGGGUUUAAAGGGUGCGUAGGCGGAUUUUUAAGUCAGCGGUAAAAUGUCCGGGCUCAACCCGGGCCGGCCGUUGAAACUGGGGAUCUUGAGUGGGCGAGAAGUAUGCGGAAUGCGUGGUGUAGCGGUGAAAUGCAUAGAUAUCACGCAGAACUCCGAUUGCGAAGGCAGCAUACCGGCGCCCGACUGACGCUGAGGCACGAAAGCGUGGGGAUCGAACAGGAUUAGAUACCCGUGUAGUC
rnacentral:rRNA from 1 species